rnacentral:rRNA from 1 species
UCGGGAAUAUUGCGCAAUGGAGGAAACUCUGACGCAGUGACGCCGCGUGCAGGAAGAAGGUUUUCGGAUUGUAAACUGCUUUAGACAGGGAAGAAAAAGACAGUACCUGUAGAAUAAGCUCCGGCUAACUACGUGCCAGCAGCCGCGGUAAUACGUAGGGAGCAAGCGUUAUCCGGAUUUAUUGGGUGUAAAGGGUGCGUAGACGGGAAAAUAAGUUAGUUGUGAAAUCCCCAUGCUUAACAUGGGAACUGCAACUAAAACUGUUUUCUUGAGUGCUGGAGAGGAAAGUGGAAUUCCUAGUGUAGCGGUGAAAUGCGUAGAUAUUAGGAGGAACACCAGUGGCGAAGGCGACUUUCUGGACAGUAACUGACGUUGAGGCACGAAAGUGUGGGGAGCAAACAGGAUUAGAUACCCUGGUAGU